rnacentral:rRNA from 1 species
GCUUGUCUCAAAGAUUAAGCCAUGCAUGUCUAAGUAUAAACUGCUUAUACUGUGAAACUGCGAAUGGCUCAUUAAAUCAGUUAUAGUUUAUUUGAUGGUACCUACUACUCGGAUAACCGUAGUAAUUCUAGAGCUAAUACGUGCGCACAACCCGACUUCUGGAAGGGUCGUAUUUAUUAGAUAAAAGGCCAGCCGGGCUUUGCCCGACCUGCGGUGAAUCAUGAUAACUUCACGAAUCGCAUGGCCUCGCGCCGGCGAUAUUUCAUUCAAAUUUCUGCCCUAUCAAUUGGCGAUGGUAGGAUAGAGGCCUACCAUGGUGUUAACGGGUGACGGGGGAUUAGGGUUCGAUUCCGGAGAGGCAGCCUGAGAAACGGCUACCACAUCCAAGGAAGGCAGCAGG